AAAAUUUAAAAAAAAGUGUUUUUUUCGCCUCCCAUACUUCGCCAUACUUGGCCCAUAGUUCGCCCAUAGUUCGAAAAUUUAAAAAAAAGUGUUUUUUUCGCCUCCCAUACUUCGCCAUACUUGGCCCAUAGUUCGCCCAUAGUUCGAAAAUUUAAAAAAAGUGUUUUUUUCGCCUCCCAUACUUCGCCAUACUUGGCCCAUAGUUCGCCCAUAGUUCGAAAAUUUAAAAAAAGUGUUUUUUUCGCCUCCCAUACUUCGCCAUACUUGGCCCAUAGUUCGCCCAAAGUUCAAAAAUUAAAAAAAAGUUUUUUUUCGCCUCCCAUACUUCGCCAUACUUGGCCCAUAGUUCGCCCAUAGUUCGAAAAAUUAAAAAAAAGUGUUUUUUUCGCCUCCCAUACUUCGCCAUACUUGGCCCAUAGUUCGCCCAUAGUUCGAAAAUUUAAAAAAAGUGUUUUUUUCGCCUCCCAUACUUCGCCAUACUUGGCCCAUAGUUCGCCCAUAGUUCGAAAAUUUAAAAAAAGUGUUUUUUUCGCCUCCCAUACUUCGCCAUACUUGGCCCAUAGUUCGCCCAUAGUUCGAAAAUUUAAAAAAAGUGUUUUUUUCGCCUCCCAUACUUCGCCAUACUUGGCCCAUAGUUCGCCCAUAGUUCAAAAAUUUAAAAAAAAGUUUUUUUUUCGCCUCCCAUACUUCGCCAUACUUGGCCCAUAGUUCGCCCAUAGUUCAAAAAUUUAAAAAAAAGUGUUUUUUUCGCCUCCCAUACUUCGCCAUACUUGGCCCAUAGUUCGCCCAAAGUUCAAAAAUUAAAAAAAAGUUUUUUUUCGCCUCCCAUACUUCGCCAUACUUGGCCCAUAGUUCGCCCAUAGUUCGAAAAUUUAAAAAAAAUGUUUUUUUCGCCUCCCAUACUUCGCCAUACUUGGCCCAUAGUUCCCCCAUAGUUCGAAAAUUUAAAAAAAGUGUUUUUUUCGCCUCCCAUACUUCGCCAUACUUGGCCCAUAGUUCGCCCAUAGUUCAAAAAUUAAAAAAAAGUGUUUUUUUCGCCUCCCAUACUUCGCCAUACUUGGCCCAUAGUUCGCCCGUAGUUCGAAAAUUAAAAAAAAAGUGUUUUUUUCGCCUCCCAUACUUCGCCAUACUUGGCCCAUAGUUCGCCCAUAGUUCGAAAAUUUAAAAAAAGUGUUUUUUUCGCCUCCCAUACUUCGCCAUACUUGGCCCAUAGUUCGCCCAUAGUUCAAAAAUUAAAAAAAAGUGUUUUUUUCGCCUCCCAUACUUCGCCAUACUUGGCCCAUAGUUCGAAAAUUUAAAAAAAGUUUUUUUCGCCUCCCAUACUUCGCCAUACUUGGCCCAUAGUUCGCCCAUAGUUCAAAAAUUUAAAAAAAAGUGUUUUUUUCGCCUCCUAUACUUCGCCAUACUUGGCCCAUAGUUCGCCCAUAUUUCGAAAAUUUAAAAAAAGUGUUUUUUUCGCCUCCCAUACUUCGCCAUACUUGGCCCAUAGUUCGCCCAUAGUUCAAAAAUUAAAAAAAAUUUUUUUUUCGCCUCCCAUACUUCGCCAUACUUGGCCCAUAGUUCCCCCAUAUUUCGAAAAUUUAAAAAAAGUGUUUUUUUCGCCUCCCAUACUUCGCCAUACUUGGCCCAUAGUUCGCCCAUAGUUCAAAAAUUAAAAAAAAGUGUUUUUUUCGCCUCCCAUACUUCGCCAUACUUGGCCCAUAGUUCGCCCGUAGUUCGAAAAUUUAAAAAAAAGUGUUUUUUUCGCCUCCCAUACUUCGCCAUACUUGGCCCAUAGUUCGCCCAUAGUUCGAAAAUUUAAAAAAAAGUGUUUUUUUCGCCUCCCAUACUUCGCCAUACUUGGCCCAUAGUUCGAAAAUUUAAAAAAAAGUGUUUUUUUCGCCUCCCAUACUUCGCCAUACUUGGCCCAUAGUUCGAAAAUUUAAAAAAAUUUUUUUUCGCCUCCCAUACUUCGCCAUACUUGGCCCAUAGUUCGCCCAUAGUUCGAAAAUUUAAAAAAAAGUGUUUUAUUCGCCUCCCAUACUUCGCCAUACUUGGCCCAUAGUUCGAAAAUUUAAAAAAAAGUGUUUUUUUCGCCUCCCAUACUUCGCCAUACUUGGCCCAUAGUUCGAAAAUUUAAAAAAAGUUAUUUUUCGCCUCCCAUACUUCGCCAUACUUGGCCCAUAGUUCGCCCAUAGUUCGAAAAUUUAAAAAAAAGUGUUUUUUUCGCCUCCCAUACUUCGCCAUACUUGGCCCAUAGUUCGCCCAUAGUUCGAAAAUUUUAAAAAAAGUGUUUUUUUCGCCUCCCAUACUUCGCCAUACUUGGCCCAUAGUUCGCCCAUAGUUCGAAAAUUUAAAAAAAAGUGUUUUUUUCGCCUCCCAUACUUCGCCAUACUUGGCCCAUAGUUCGCCCAUAGUUCGAAAAUUUAAAAAAAAGUGUUUUUUUCGCCUCCCAUACUUCGCCAUACUUGGCCCAUAGUUCGCCCAUAGUUCGAAAAUUUAAAAAAAAGUGUUUUUUUCGCCUCCCAUACUUCGCCAUACUUGGCCCAUAGUUCGCCCAUAGUUCGAAAAUUUAAAAAAAGUGUUUUUUUCGCCUCCCAUACUUCGCCAUACUUGGCCCAUAGUUCGCCCAUAGUUCGAAAAAUUAAAAAAAAGUGUUUUUUUCGCCUCCCAUACUUCGCCAUACUUGGCCCAUAGUUCGCCCAUAGUUCGAAAAUUUAAAAAAAAGUGUUUUAUUCGCCUCCCAUACUUCGCCAUACUUGGCCCAUAGUUCGAAAAUUUAAAAAAAAUUUUUUUCGCCUCCCAUACUUCGCCAUACUUGGCCCAUAGUUCGCCCAUAGUUCGAAAAUUUAAAAAAAAGUGUUUUUUUCGCCUCCCAUACUUCGCCAUACUUGGCCCAUAG